CGCCACCACUGCACACAGUAAGCAUUAGAGUUAGCGAUAAGGUUGUGGUUGGUGUCCAGUUCAAAGAGAGAUAAAUAUAUUUGUUGAUGAAACAUAAUAAUGAUAUUCAAAUUUACUAAGGGAGGAGGCUAAUGAAAGAGCAAACUUGGUGUGGGAAUUGGGUGUGGUCAUUGGCUUUACUGCCUAGUUAAAGACCGCUCUAAAUGCAGUUUUUUAUAAAUGGCGAGAUCUGUAUUUUUGAACAAUUAUUACUUGUUUGAAAACAAAAAAAUAUCUUACUUAUGUGAAAGAAC